rnacentral:pre_miRNA from 1 species
GAAGGGUAAAAAUAUGUCGAUCGACAUGGGGUAAAAAGAGAUCAACCAUUGGGGUAAACUAAAUCUGCUUCUUUCUACCUCUAAAACUUUUUACCAUGGGUAAAAAGAAUCUUCUUGAGGUAUAAAAAGAACCAGAUUUAGACUUACACCAAGGGUUGAUGUCAUUUUACCCCAAAAAGAUCGGUCUCUUUUUACCCCAU